GUCCUUCUGGGCAUUUACAUAGAAGGUCGGGCCUGCCCGCUGCACCCUUGAUGUGAAGGGCCGCAGAACUAUAACUGUGCUAAGGUAGCAUAAUAAUUUGCCCUUUAAUUGAGGGCUAGAAUGAAUGGUUUGACUAGAUCUCACCUGUCUCAGUUAAAUGAGAUUUAAACUUAAACUUUAAGUGAAAAUGCUUAAAUGUUAGGAAAGGACGAGAAGACCCUGUAGAUCUUGAUUUACUUGAAUUUACAUAAUUGAGAGAUGAAAAGUAAUUUUGUCUGGGGCGGAUGUCAAUAACAUGAUUGAAUAUUAAAACAUGAUUGUUGAACUAUUAGACCCUCCACAGCGAGGGCUUAUGAUAAAGUUACCUCAGGGAUAACAGCGCAUGAUAUUUUCUUUUAAGAUCAUAUUGAAUAGAAAAGAUUGCGACCUCGAUGUUGAAUUAAGCUUCCUUUCUGAAGUAAAAGGUAGAAAAGUUAGUCUGUUCGACUAUUAAAAGCU
rnacentral:rRNA from 1 species